UCCUUUUUACACAGAUGGGAUUCUGGAGC
rnacentral:piRNA from 1 species